CCAGAAACAUGCUGGCACUAAAUAGGAGACACUGUGGGGCUAGUCAACAUGGCCCAGCUGGAGCCUGGGGAGGGUAUAUGUGACUGAGUUCUGGGCAUGCUGGAUCUAGGUGAGCGGGUCAAAUCUGACUUUAGAUAAGAGCAGGUUCAUCAGUAGGAAAGCACUGUCUCAUAAUCUAAGAUUUAUUACCCUGUUGAGGGACCUCAGGAAACAGCCUUAACAUGCUAAUAUUCUUGGAAGCUGGAAAAAGUGAUAAGCAUAGGGCCCUCAAUAAAUAAAAGAGUGAUGCUAGAACUACUAUGGCAGACAGUGGAGCAAAAUGUUCAGAGAGGUGAGGAGACCAGGAGAGGUAUGUGAUAUAAGGCUGCAAACCCCAGCUCACCGUGGGAGAAUCUGGGGGACACUCCACCUACCCAGCUGAUAAGAUGAAGAGAUCUCUGAUUAGGGGACACCAGGCUGUAGCACUUCCAAGUAGCUCAGUGGUGAAUGUCUCUGAUGAGCCAGGGUUGACAAAGGAGAUGCUGUUACAGAAUUGGGCUUCCUGAUAGCUAUGGGGAUGGGGGGGUUCCAGACUAGUUCUGAUAAGGUAUGAGAACUUAAACUUUAGAAGCAGUGUAGGUGCAACCAUCAUAACUGGUGGCAAGAUCUGAAAGACAGCUGAGGGGAGCUGGCCUGUAGAGAACAGAGAUAUUGUAGGACAUGAUAUUCUUUGGUGCAAGAUAAAUGGCCAGUCAAGAAAAGUGUUGUUCAUGUUAUAACAUUUAUAAGCCAAAGAGAAAAAGAUUUAUUGGCUAGUCACCCCAAUAAAAUUUCAUAAUUCCUUGUCUAAUAUUUGGACUUCCUUUGUUUUUUAGAUCCUGAAUCACUGACUGGAGGAAAGGCUGGAUCUGCAUGAGAAAGCACCCAAAAUACCACAGCAAGUGUGUGUAAUGAUUCCCCUAAAGCACCCUAUGGCCAUUUAUACAAAACAACAGAGAAGAGUCCUUGAAUGAUAAUGAUGAAUGAGGAUGAAUCACAUAACGUGAUAACAGAACUCACUUGCCAGAAUGGCUCUCAGGGUUGAUUUAAGUGGGAGAAAUGAAGGAUUUGAACCAAUGAGAGAGAACACUGGGAGGCAUACAAGGAAGAAAACAAAACAGAACAAAUAUCAGCUUGUUGCUCAAUAUCUUCCUAUUCCCUCAUUUCAUCACUCUGGGCCAAAGGUGAGAGCUAACAAGAUAUCCAUUUUACAUGCCUAUUGUCUAACACCUAGCUUCCUUCUUAGGCUUUCAAUUAACUGCCAGCAGAUAGCUUGGCGCCUAGUCUUCCAUAAGCUUUCAGGGCAGUCUCAAGGUGGCUGUGAUCCAGAGUUACGUGGAAGACAUCUGUGUCUGCAGAACAUUGGCCUGGCACUGUGGAGUGGCUCUGCAAAAAUUCUAGAACCCAGGGCCUUCACAGAAUCUUUUCUUUAAAUGAAAAGAUUUAUACUUGAUAUGAUACUUUAAUAUUUCUGAUUCAAAUAGGUGGUAAAUGUUAUUGGGGUGCUGGUGCCUUCAUUCUUUAACGAAUGACUUUGGGCUAAACUGCUUCAUUUGCCUUAUGUUCUAAAUCAGUGGCUAUGGAGAAAGCUUUGGUGGUGAGCUUACGAUACGAGUAGUAACUAACAUUUAUAGAAUGUUUAUCCCAGGCACUGUUCUGUGUGUUUUACACAGAGCAAGCAACUUAUGCAAUCUUUGCAGCAACUCAGGGAAGUAGGUGUUAUUUUUAUCUUCAUUUCAUAUAUUAACAAAAAGAUACAGAAAGAUUAAAUAAUUUCUCCACGGGAAAAAAUAAGCCAGUGAUAGGUAGCACCAGGUUCAAACCCAAGCUUGAUGCCACUGAUAACCAUGAUUAGAGAGAGAUGAAACCAACAUGCAGGAAGAAGCAGAGAUCCUCGGAACCAGCCGAAAUUUGUCCUUGGAUUGUUUGAGACACUCAAAUAUGAUAAAUCUCUCUGCCUCCCCUUCUUUUUCUAAACUUGGGCUUAAAUGUAGGAAGUCUGACAUCUGACCUAUGCUCUUAUUACUGGCAGCUAAAAGUCCAAGUGAACACAAAAUUCAUUAAAAAAAAGAUGAAAUACUAAAUGUAAUUUUUCUUUUUUCUUUUUUGGUUGCAUCUGUGACAUGAAGAAAUUCCCAGGCCAGGGACUGAACCUAUGUUGCAGUUGCGACUUGUACCACCACUGUGGCAAUGUGGGAUCCUUAAUCCUUUGUGCCACACAGGAACCUCCAAGUAUAAUUUUUUUUGCUUCUAAUAAUCGAUUCCAGACUAAGCUCUUUGAUAUUUGUUAUAAAAUACUACAUAUAAACACAGGACACUAUUAUUUAGUUUUUAUAUUAAAAUAUUCUAACUUGAUCUUUGCUUUAAGAAUGGGGAGUUGGGAAAUUUUAGUCACCCUGCUUUGCUUGACUUUCUCCUAGAAAACUGUACAGGGAACAUGUAAUUGUGUAUAAAUACUAGCAUGUCAGCACAGGCUAAAGCUUUUAGAAUUAAGCCAAUUCUAUAUGUUUAGUAACUGUGGAAAUUCUUUCAAUAGAAAAAAGCAUGUAGUUUUUGAAGUUUUGAAAUGAAACCUUGUUCGCUGUAAAGAAAUACUGUUUAUGUAAAGAGAUACUGAACUUGGUAUCAAGUAUUUCUCUUGAUCUUUUCUCCUUAAAAGUUAGAGCUGGAGCUCCUGUUGUGGCUCAGUGAGUUAAGAAACCGACAUAGCAUCUGCGAUGAUGCAGAUCCAAUCCCUGGGCUUGCUUAGUGGGUUAAGGAUCUGGAGUGGCCAUAGCUGCCACGUAGGUCAUAG